rnacentral:rRNA from 1 species
UACGUAGGCAGCGAGCGUUGUUCGGAGUUACUGGGCGUAAAGGGUGUGUAGGCGGUUUCUUAAGUUUGGUGUGAAAUCUCCCGGCUUAACUGGGAGGGUGCGCCGAAUACUGAGAGGCUCGAGUGCGGGAGAGGAGAGUGGAAUUCCUGGUGUAGCGGUGAAAUGCGUAGAUAUCAGGAGGAACACCGAUGGCGAAGGCAGCAAACUGGGCAUCAACUGACGCUGAGGCGCGAAAGCGUGGGUAGCAAACAGG